rnacentral:tRNA from 1 species
GGAGAGAUGGCCGAGUGGUCGAAGGCACACGACUCGAAAUCGUGCGCACCCCCAAAAAGGGUGCCGUGGGUUCGAAUCCCACUCUCUCCG